rnacentral:rRNA from 1 species
CCCUUAGAUGUCCUGGGCUGCACGCGCGCUACACUGAUGUGUCCAGUAAGCACCUAACCUAUUCCGAGAGGAGCGGGUAACCUUAGCAAAGCACAUCGUGAUGGGGAUAGAUUAUUGCAAUUAUUAGUCUUGAACGAGGAAUUCCUAGUAAGCACAAGUCAUCAGCUUGUGCUGAUUACGUCCCUGCCCUUUGUACACACCGCCCGUCGCUCCUACCGAUUGAAUGUUCCGGUGAGCUCUUCGGACUGCGCGGUCUGCAGUUUCUGCGUUCCGUGCGGAAAGUUGUGCAAACCUUAACAUUUAGAGGAAGGAGAAGUCGUAACA